AUUUUGAAGGAAAAUCAACAGAAUGCACACCUGUGCAAAGUAAAAAAGGAUCUUUAAAAUGAAUCCAGUUGAGAACCGCGUUCGCCAGCAGGUGGCAGCACUGCACUAUUCCCGCAGGCCCAUAGCAACACGAAGGAGGACAUUACACAUGCUGCUGAUGAUGGACACGGGUCGAAGGGCAGCGGCAACAUGGCCGGCUUCCAGGCAAAUGCCAGGGUUUCCCUGCGGCUGAAUCAGGAAUUAUGAAUAACAGGAGCUGGCCAAGUCGAGACUGUGAAUGCGACAAACUGUUCAUGCGAAGAUUAGUAUCAUGAGGGGUGACGUCCUUCCCCUGGACGUUCUCUCUAAACAUAGAAGCGCUGCGACUGGCCAUGUGCUUAUGUGAUGUAUUUUGAUGAGGUGUUAGUGUGUCUGGCUGGUAUUGUGAGGGAGAAGAGCAUGAAAGGUUUGUUCAUUUCAUUGGUAUCUCUAUAUUUAUACACACACAUAACAGCUCAAGUGUCUGGCAGUGCUGUGUUUAUCAACGGUUGCACGGCUUUAAGGGCACCACCU